rnacentral:sRNA from 1 species
UGAUCGGGAUCCCCGACGUUUGGAAGGA